AGACCCCAUGGAGCUUUAAACCCAACAACACCCGCCCCCCUCCAAAUCCUAUUAUGUGCCCGGUGACUGUUUGUUCGGUUUUAGGUUGGGGUGACCGCGGAGUAUAAGAUAUCCUCCAUGAAAAAAAGCUAACUGCCCUUAUUAGAGAAAGACACUUCCAAAAAAUAAUAAAUUAAUUUUAAAUGAUCCGACAUUCGAUCAACGAACCAAGUUACCCUGGGGAUAACAGCGCAAUCCGUCCCGAGAGCCCCUAUCGACAGGCGGGUUUACGACCUCGAUGUUGGAUCAGGGUAUCCUAGUGGUGCAGCAGCUACUAAAGGUUCGUUUGUUCAACGAUUAAAACCCU
rnacentral:rRNA from 1 species